UGAGAAUACAGCUGUGAGGUCUGUUUCUAGGGAUGUCCUUCAGCAGGCAGCACGAAUUGCAAAAUCAGUCACACAAACGGCCUACCCUAUAUAAAAAUAACCAAUCUAUCAAGAGGGCCGAAGCCGAGCAGCAGUUAAAAUAACUACCGGAUCAGGAAUGCUAAACUUACGACGCAGCUCAACAGAUACACCUAGAAAGAAAAAAGAGCAGGCCAUUUUUGGUUUGAUUUAUGUUAUUACUUCAUUUUUUAUUCAAGACAGGAAACAUUCCGAGAAGCGAAUGCUAAAAGUCAGAAAAGACUGCCAUAACAAUAUGAAGUGCAAGGCAAGUGCAAGACGGAUUGGGGAACGUUGCUGUCUCUAAUGAGACAAAAGCUACGGCUGAGAUCAAUUUGAGAUCGUCUCUGUGGCAUCAGAGCCUUGUUAGGCAGACGCUGCAGGCCCUGCUCCCGCUGCACGCAGUUCUGCUCUCUCUUCUACACCGCUGCUUUAGGGAUAAAUCCUACCUGGUAGUCGGUCGCGAGUCAGCAACUCCUAUUGAAGUUGAGCUGCAUUUCUCUGCAGGCGCAGUUUUACUGAAGGCGUAUUUUUGGAGCGCUCCAGCAGGAGGACGGAGGGAGGCAAGGGAGGUAACGAGAUGUACAGCUGAAGUGACUGGAUGGCAAAAGAACGCAAAAGCACGCAAAAGAAUGAGCAGUCCCUCGGUGUGUUCUGAAAUCCCUCUUCAAACCUUCCUAUGUCAGCAUCAUCUUUCCCGUUUAUACGGAAACAGGUUUGUGUGUUUGGAGCCCUCCAAUGACAAAGCGCAGCUGUUGCUACACGUGGCUCUUCCUUUAUGCCGGAGGAGUACCGGGGUGAUAACGGCGCGCCCAAAGGUCAGACAGAGCACAUCCCACAGCCAACCUGACGUGCCGCACGUUUACUGUGCUUUGGAGGAGGUUAACAAGGGCUAACACGGGAAGCAAAGGAGGAACCGCACAGGAUGCAGGUGAAUUAAGUGCUCUGGCGUGUAUUAGAGCAGACUAACCCUGUCCGUGCAGGUGGGAAAAGGCUUAAGGACAGCACAGGCAGCGAGAUACACGUUUGAUCUCUCCUAGAAGACGCAGACUGAAAUCCCACCCUGCUUGAAGUCACCAUGAAUAUUCACACCGACUUGAACGGGGCCAGCGCUCAGCCUACCAUCAGCACAUCACUUGACGCGACAGUGCGAAAGCAUCGUCCUGGCUAAAGACGGUUGUUUUCAGUAUCUCGGGGAGCUCCGGGAAAGAGGGGGACAGACUCCUUAGCAGGGUCUGCGGUGACAGAACAAGAGCUUCAAGGUCAGAGAGGGCGGACUCACGUUAGAUAUGGGGAAAAAUACUUGUACAGCGAGGGUGGUUUUGAGUCGAUUCACGGCUUUUGAAGGGCCGAAGACGAAUCCCCCCCGUUAACGCGAGUCCGAGCAAGUUUUACGCCGUGCCGGCAGCCGCCAGAGAGCACCGACCCCCCUCAUCGGAGGGCGUCGAGGCAUGGAGGCUUCUGGAGACGGCGGUCAAGAGGGGGAACGUCGCUGCCAGCGCUCUGCCCGUUGCCCCGUGCCGCCGCCAGGGGGCGCCGCCGAGCCGCCGUCACAGCACGGUCGCGGCGCGGUCCCCGCAUCGGGACGCCGAGACGAUCCCGCAACAAGGCGAGGAGGAGAAGCGCACAGCGAGUGCUUAAAGUGUCAUUUAAGUCCGUAAUUCAGAUCUAGAGUCCACGCGUCUACCUGUCAAAGCCCCCGGCCCGCCCUAACGAGGCCCAUCUGUGCUAAUGACACAACGACCCCCAGGUGCCGGGCACAGCUGCGCCUCGUCCGGAGCCGAGCGCAACGCCCGCCCCAAAGCCUCUUAAGCUCCUCCGGGGGCUGCCGGGAGCCACGAGGGCGCUCUGCGCAGUCCCUCGCCGGGAGGCGAUGGAGGAGGCUGCAGGAAGGCGUCGGGAUCCGCCCCGGCCGGCGAGCCGUACCGAUAGCGAUGGAGGUGUGAGUGCUUCAGUUUGUUCUGCUCUCAUCAGCGGGAGUGAGUGAGACGGGGCUGUGCUUCUGCGGCCUCGGCACUGCUGGGAGAGAGGAGCAACGCGAAGGGCUGCUAAAACCAGGUGUUCUCCUACUGGAGCUGCAGCAGAGCCUCUCUUCAUCCCAAACCAGCGAGGUUGUGGAAGUGUUGAGAGUUUAGGAGUCAGUAGAAGGACAAUCCAGCAGGGUGAUGGAGUUGCUUUUCAGGUGAGAGAGCUGGAAAGGAUUGAGCCCUGCCUAGGGAUGAAUGAACAACUAGAGGAGUGCUUGUGAGCUGUGACUGCUGAGGAUGCUCCUUGACGAUCCUGGAUCCCAGAGGAAAGCGUCUUUGAGGAAGGAUGCCUUCCUGAUUGCAGAGGAGGCGGCAAAGAUCACGUGGACAAAAUUGGUGCCCCCCAGGAAAGUUGUGUGAGGACGGGAGGAUAGCCAGCAUCACGGCAGCCUUCAAAAAGGGUGUCAUUUCCAAGGAACUUGAAGAGUUUGCUAGGAAGCAGUCAAGGUGGCAUCACUGAGGGGAAAUUGUGCUGCUCCAACCUGGGAGCGUCAGGUCAGAAGAGCAGGGGAUGCUGCAAACCUGACUUCGGUGUUUCUGUUGGCGUUUUUGUAAUGAACUUAACAAGUGUGAGAUGGUGACCUGGAUGAAGGGAGAGUCUCUAAUGUCGGUGAGUGAGCGGAUGAUGCGAAGCUGGGAGGAGCAGUGACAUUCAGCGGGACCCCAUAAACUGUGGAGAGCAGGCAUGGGGUUGUGCAACUGGAGAGGAAUAACAGCAUGUACUGUUACCAGUUAGGAACUGGUCUGCUGGAAGGGUGACUGGAGGAGAAGGACUCUUUGGUCAGCUGUGAGCCAGUGGCCCCAGAAAGCCAAGGCUGUCCUGGGGUGUGAUGGAGUUCUGCCCUGGUGAGGCUGUGUGGAGUAUUUGACUCUGCAGGUCAAGCAGAGGGGAAAGCUGUACAUGGGGUCUAAUGGAGGGCAAUGAUGAGGGGCCUGGAGCAUCUCCCUGUGGAGGACUGGAUGAGGACCUACAGCUGUUUGAUGAAGAGAAGGAUGGAGGCUGCAAAGGAGUGUUUUUUUUGGCAAGGAUCUGCCUGAACAUGAGUGGUGGAAUGGAGGAGGUAAGAGCCCUCAGCUGUGUUGUGUAGGUGUGGAGGCUCCUUUGUCAGAGGUUUGGUGCUGGAACAAGGAUUGCUGUGUGACUGCCUCUACAGAGGAAGGUGUUUUUCCAGUGGAGUGGAAUUGAUGGAGCUUCACUUGGGCUGUAGCAGAAGAAUUGGAGCUGACUUAACAGGUUGUCUACUUCAGCACUAUGGUGUGUCAGACUUGCUUGACUCACCAAAUGAAACCAGUACUUUUCCAGUGUUUGCAUUGUUGCAGCGGAAUUCCUGGAGAGAAGCGUUGCUUGAGUUUGGUAGGGCUUCUCGAGUGUGAAGGUAGGUGUGCUGUCCUGAGAGCUGAGCGGCGUUGACUCUUGCAAAAAGAUGGUUUCCUUUUUUCAGAUAGGUAAGUCAAACCACUCUCAGCAAACCAAUGGAGAAACCAGAGACUAGUGCAUCUCUCCGGUACCCUUUGGGUCAAGUUAGGAAUCAGAAAGCAGCCUGGGUUGGAAGGAACCUGUGUCUCCAAGCUCUGCAUUGCUCUGCCUCAACUUCAGUUGCAUCUCUGUGAGUCUCAUCAAAGCCUGGGGAUGACCAGUGUCAAUGACAGUUUGCAUUCUGGUUCUACUCAAUUUUCACAUUUUCAGAUUCAAAGAAACAAUUUCUACACUAGGAGGAACUUAGCUGUGACACCUGGGCACAAAUUACACCUUUGGAGACAAACUUCAAGAUUUGCAAACUUCAAGAUUUGUUUCCUAUAGGUACAGGCCUGAAUCAAACACCCCUUCUGCAUCACGUUGCAGCCUGCUUCCCAAGGUUUCCAGAUGACUCAAACAUUUUUAUCUUCAUUUUUACUGCAGAGUCAGCAGUUAGUUAAUACAUGAACUGAAAUAAAACAAAAAACAACCACUGACAAGAGGGGAAGGUAGAAAACACUCUUGCUGUGAAACAGGCUCCAGGCACAGAGUGGUUCCCUCUGCUUGCUCCAGUUACAGCUCAGAGGCUCAUUCCUCAGAAGCAAAAUCUUAUAAGUAAACAUGGAGCUGAGCCUCUCUCUGCCCUUUAUUCCCUCCCAUGAAGCCUAUUUUUUUUUUAUCCCAUUCAACUCAAAGGCACCCUCAGAACAGUGGACUAAAUCUCUGCCUGUAAUAAAAUAAAUCUAAUUCUGGUCACAUUAAAAUACAUCACAGACCUUCAAAGGAAUAGUACUAGGCUGCCUAAUGAAAAAUAGAGUGCUUCAAGUGAGAUAAACCAACAUUCUGACCGUAAGCAAGAACAAACUGGGAUCUGGUGUCACAGGAUAUUCCUUCUCUCUGGGUUUUUGCAUAUUAACCAGCAGACAGAUUUGUGGAAGAUGACUUAUUGCUCUCAGUUUUACCACAAGGAAAAUACAUAAUGUUUCUAGCUGAUCGGUAACAUGAAGUUCAACUCUGUCCCAGUACGUUCAUGCAUGGCCUAACAAGUGAAAUUACUUAAAAGAGAGCCCUCGUGUCAAAAAAGGCUUUACAAAAAUGACUCAGGGAUUUUUCAGCUACUUGCCCUUACUGAGUGCAGAGCCCUCUGUCCCUCUAAGCUUUAGCAGCUCUGUAUGACUAUUAUUGAAUGGGAACCUCCAUUAUCUCAGUGCUGACUGAGGUACCAAUGCCCAUUGGGGUGACUGAGGGAAAGGGCAGUGAGUGUUUGCUUUGGCUGCUUAGCCAAGCUAGACUUAUGUUAUGCAUCCUGAUUUAAAUGUAAUGUGGAGAUGUAACAUGGAUGCCCCAUCCCUGGAGGCAUUCAAGGCCAGGCUGGAUGUGGCUCUGGGCAGUGUGGUCUGGUGGUUGGUGACCCUAUGCAGAGCAGGGGGGUUGGAACUAGAUGAGCAUUGUGGUCCUUUGCAACCCAGACCAUUCUAUGACAAGUGAAUCAAACAGACUUUUAACAGAGGAAAAUAAAAAAGAGGAAACCAUAGAUGUCACGUACAAACAUCUGAGAAAUAUCUCAGAAUUGACAAAAACAAAAAAAAUAAUCUGAGCAAAAGUUAACAUUUGCUCCUUUUUAUUUUGAGCAAUGUUAAAUACAGUUUCCCUGCACUUUGCAGUGUCAGCUAACAGCCUGCUAUAUCCUUAGCUCAGCCAUAGCUGGAAGGAUCAGUCCCUUUACAGACACCCACACAGUCCAUCUUUCCCUGCCCCAUUGGCCACCAGUUCACACACACAAGGAAUCAUCCAGUAGGUACAAUGACCAGUCACCACUGCAGCUGUUGCUGUGCCUUUGAAGGAAACACAAAGUUACUGCUUGUCUUUCUUCCCCUCCUCCUUUCUGAAGGCUUCUAGGCUGUAAGCGUGCAGGAGAAAACUGGAACUGCUUAGGCCUCCCCUGCAACAGUUUGGUUUCUGAACAAAGUUAUGAAACUAAGAGAAGAUACGGGCUUCUUCAUCAACUUUUUUAAAACACCAAAGAAAAAUCAUGUUUAAAGGUGAUGCUAUUAGCCGAAGACAACAGAAAAAGGAUGGCAACUUUCCCUAUAGAGAGCUCAAGAUGUGUGUGUCGUCAAUGCUUCCGGGACCCCUCCUGGGCUUCAGCAAGCACGCAGGCCAUGGCUAACAUUUCCAACCCUGAAACCCAGCCCUCCAAGAAAAGAGUAAAUCAAAAUACAUAACGUAGGGUGAUGCAGGGCUACUUCUUUCAUUUCAUCUUCACAGCACAGAGCUCUCUCUGCAAGACAGAUACGCAAGUGUAUUAAGCCCACUGACACCUCUCCAAAAGCUUAUUUGCUGGCUAAUUAGACAGUUGAAAAGAUCAACAGGUCGAUGGAAUUGAGAUAACGCUAUCCAAUGCAAUUACUACAAUUGCAAUAUUUUAGGAAUUGAAGCACAACUCCAUUCGACCUAUGCCAAAAAGUCUAUACACAGAAGUCCGCACUUAGGUGGUUAUUUUUCUCUAUCGGUUCAUAAUUGCCUUCUGUUUUUAAUCACAGCUUCUUUCUCCAACUGUUGCAAAGAUGGCACUGUUGUUUUUUCCUGCGUAGCCUGAAGUCCCCAGUGGCUACAGUCCACUUCUCUCCACCGCUGACGUUUAAGGUGCUGACAGCCCCCAAGCGCCCGAGGGAUCCUGCUAUCUUCAGCAAGGUCUCAUUUCAUUUAAUUUCAUAUUUAAAGCUUCCGUGACCUUUUUGAACAUGUAAAUGAUAAAAAUACUUUCACACACAGAUGUAUCGAGCGCCACAUCCACCUAGGCUUGUUAAUAAACCUCGUUGCUCUGUUUCUGCUGGCCCGUGGCUAUA
ensembl:lncRNA